GCCCAGACUCCUACGGGAGGCAGCAGUCGGGAAUAUUGCGCAGUGGAGGAAACUCUGACGCAGUGACGCCGCGUAUAGGAAGAAGGUUUUCGGAUUGUAAACUAUUGUCGUUAGGGAAGAGAAAGGACAGUACCUAAGGAGGAAGCCCCGGCUAACUACGUGCCAGCAGCCGCGGUAAUACGUAGGGGGCGAGCGUUAUCCGGAUUCACUGGGUGUAAAGGGAGCGUAGACGGCCAAGCAAGCCAGGGGUGAAAGCCCGGGGCCCAACCCCGGGACUGCCCUUGGAACUGCUUGGCUGGAGUGCGGGAGGGGCAGGCGGAAUUCCUGGUGUAGCGGUGAAAUGCGUAGAUAUCAGGAGGAACACCGGCGGCGAAGGCGGCCUGCUGGACCGCUACUGACGUUGAGGCUCGAAAGCGUGGGGAGCGAACAGGAUUAGAUACCCGAGUAGAU
rnacentral:rRNA from 1 species